UACGAAGGGGGCUAGCGUUGUUCGGAAUCACUGGGCGUAAAGCGCACGUAGGCGGAUCUUUAAGUCAGAGGUGAAAUCCCAAGGCUCAACCUUGGAACUGCCUUUGAUACUGGGGAUCUUGAGUCCGGGAGAGGUGAGUGGAACUCCGAGUGUAGAGGUGAAAUUCGUAGAUAUUCGGAAGAACACCAGUGGCGAAGGCGGCUCACUGGCCCGGUACUGACGCUGAUGUGCGAAAGCGUGGGGAGCAAACAGG
rnacentral:rRNA from 1 species